CACGUAGGGGGCGAGCGUUGUCCGGAAUCAUUGGGCGUAAAGCGCGCGUAGGCGGCUCGGAAAGUCGGGUGUGAAAGCCCGGGGCUCAACCCCGGGACUGCAUACGAUACUGGAGGGCUUGAGGUAGGUAGGGGAGAUCGGAAUUCCUGGUGUAGCGGUGAAAUGCGCAGAUAUCAGGAGGAACACCGGUGGCGAAGGCGGUGCUCUGGGCCGUUCCUGACGCUGAGGUGCGAAAGCUAGGGGAGCGAACAGG
rnacentral:rRNA from 1 species